rnacentral:lncRNA from 1 species
ACAUGAAAGUGUUUCAUAUAUGAAAGAGGUUCUCCAUGCCACCCACUUGAAUUCAAUGCCAAAAUUUAUGGGUGUGGUAAAAGAAGAGUCUUUCUUUUAAUACAUCUCUUUUUUUUCCACUCUAUUUAUUUUUUUCACACACCAUUAAUAUAUGAUAUUUAUGGAUGUGGAAGAGGAGAAGUUUUUUCUGCACUUGAAACUCCUCUACACUAUUUAUUCUUGCAUGACAAUUUAUUUCCCCA